rnacentral:Y_RNA from 1 species
GGCUGGUCCUAAGGUAGUGAGUUAUCCCAACCAAUUGUUCACAAUCAGUCACAAAUCAGUUACAACUCUUUGUCUUACCCUCCCCUCCCGCUCACUAUUGCACUUGACUAGCCUUAA